CAACCCUCGCUCGCCCCUUCGGGGGCGGCGGUGUUGGGGACCGGCCCCGCCCAGCGCGGCGGCCGCCCCCGAAAUGCAGUGGCGGUCCCGCCGGCGCCUCCCCCGCGUAGUAGCAACCCCUCGCGGAUCGGGAGCGCUGGCGCGGUACCAAAGCCGUAAAACCCCCCAACUGAAGGCCCACGGGCCGAAGA
rnacentral:misc_RNA from 1 species